rnacentral:rRNA from 1 species
GAUGAACGCUAGCUACAGGCUUAACACAUGCAAGUCGAGGGGAAACGAUAUUGGAAGCUUGCUUCCGAUAGGCGUCGACCGGCGCACGGGUGAGUAACGCGUAUCCAACCUGCCCACCACUUGGGGAUAACCUUGCGAAAGUAAGACUAAUACCCAAUGAUAUCUCUAGAAGACAUCUGAAAGAGAUUAAAGAUUUAUCGGUGAUGGAUGGGGAUGCGUCUGAUUAGCUUGUUGGCGGGGUAACGGCCCACCAAGGCGACGAUCAGUGGGGGUUCUGAGAGGAAGGUCCCCCACAUUGGAACUGAGACACGGUCCAAACUCCUACGGGAGGCAGCAGUGAGGAAUAUUGGUCAAUGGGCGAGAGCCCGAACCAGCCAAGUAGCGUGCAGGAUGACGGCCCUAUGGGUUGUAAACUGCUUUUAUAAGGGAAUAAAGUGAGAGUCGUGACUCUUUUUGCAUGUACCUUAUGAAUAAGGACCGGCUAAUUCCGUGCCAGCCGCCGCCGUAACAC